UACGGAGGGUGCAAGCGUUAUCCGGAUUCACUGGGUUUAAAGGGUGCGUAGGUGGGCAGGUAAGUCAGUGGUGAAAUCUCCGGGCUUAACCCGGAAACUGCCGUUGAUACUAUUUGUCUUGAAUAUUGUGGAGGUAAGCGGAAUAUGUCAUGUAGCGGUGAAAUGCUUAGAUAUGACAUAGAACACCAAUUGCGAAGGCAGCUUACUACACAACGAUUGACGCUGAGGCACGAAAGCGUGGGGAUCAAACAGGA
rnacentral:rRNA from 1 species